AAGACUAUACUUUCAGGGAUCAUUUCUAUAGUUUGUGACUUGAGAAAUGUGUUUCUAAAGUGUAUGGUCUCGCUGCCCACGAUACUUGGGUCAUCCAUGUUCUCUGUUACUGAUGACUGUUCAUUGUUUCUUUCAUUGACAGUAAGGAAGGAGUAUGAUCUGAGUGGU
ensembl:snoRNA U3 Small nucleolar RNA U3